UACGUAGGGUGCAGGCGUUAAUCGGAAUUACUGGGCGUAAAGCGUGCGCAGGCGGUUUCUUAAGUCAGAUGUGAAAGCCCCGGGCUUAACCUGGGAACUGCGUUUGAAACUGGGAGACUGGAGUGUGGCAGAGCGGGGUGGAAUUCCACGUGUAGCAGUGAAAUGCGUAGAUAUGUGGAGGAACACCGAUGGCGAAGGCAGCCCCCUGGGUUAACACUGACGCUCAUGCACGAAAGCGUGGGGAGCAAACAGG
rnacentral:rRNA from 1 species